rnacentral:rRNA from 1 species
GUAUACCUACGGGGGGCAGCAGUGGGGAAUAUUGCACAAUGGGGGAAACCCUGAUGCAGCGACGCCGCGUGAAGGAAGAAGUAUUUCGGUAUGUAAACUUCUAUCAGCAGGGAAGAAAAUGACGGUACCUGACUAAGAAGCCCCGGCUAACUACGUGCCAGCAGCCGCGGUAAUACGUAGGGAGCAAGCGUUAUCCGGAUUUAUUGGGUGUAAAGGGAGCGUAGACGGGAAAUUAAGUUAGUUGUGAAAUCCCUCGGCUCAACUGAGGAA